ACUCCUACGGGAGGCAGCAGUGGGGAAUAUUGCACAAUGGGGGAAACCCUGAUGCAGCCAUGCCGCGUGUGUGAAGAAGGCCUUCGGGUUGUAAAGCACUUUCAGUAGGGAGGAAGGUAGUGUAGUUAACACCUGCAUUAUUUGACGUUACCUACAGAAGAAGCACCGGCUAACUCCGUGCCAGCAGCCGCGGUAAUACGGAGGGUGCGAGCGUUAAUCGGAAUUACUGGGCGUAAAGCGCAUGCAGGCGGCCUGUUAAGUCAGAUGUGAAAGCCCGGGGCUUAACCUCGGAAUUGCAUUUGAAACUGGCAGGCUAGAGUCUUGUAGAGGGGUAGAAUUUCAGGUGUAGCGGUGAAAUGCGUAGAGAUCUGAAGGAAUACCAGUGGCGAAGGCGGCCCCUGGACAAAGACUGACGCUCAGAUGCGAAAGCGUGGGAGCAAACAGGAUUAGAUACCCCUGGUAGACUGUCA
rnacentral:rRNA from 1 species